CGACUGUUGGCUGAAAGGCUUUAGGCUGCUGCUUGCAAACCAGUAAUAUGUGGGUUCGAAUCCCUCACAGUCGU
rnacentral:tRNA from 1 species